GACUCACUUGGGAAAUGGUUCUGC
rnacentral:piRNA from 1 species